GCCUUGAAGCUCUCCAGGCGGGCGAUCUUCCUGAAGCGAGCUUAGGUAGCUGAGGCAAACCAAGGCGCAAGGCGUGCCUCAGGCGGUCAAGGCACACCAAGGCGUAAGGCGUGCCCCAACCACACCAAGCUCAAAAAUUCCAUUUUCUUUAGACCAUCAGGCAAAAAAAUAAAAAAAGGAGGAGGAGGAGAAAGCGUCUCUGCAACUCUAUAGGCUCUAGCUCCAACUUCGGUAGAAGAAUCUCCAGGUUAG
rnacentral:misc_RNA from 1 species